rnacentral:misc_RNA from 1 species
CGGAUCAUUGCCCUCACUUUCCUAACUAAAAAUGUAAGCAACAAAUCCGCGUUCUUCGUUCAAAGGGCACACCCAUACCGAGCUUUCCUCCGUACUCACGUUAGAAUAAACUUUAGAGUUCCAUCAUCUCUCACGGUGCCUAGAGUUCCUACAGUCCCUAUAGCUCUCACCGUUCCUACAUUUCUCAGAGUUUUCCUACAGCUCUCAAAGUGCCUACAAGGCCUAGAGUCUCCUAUGACUCUCACAGUAUUCAAAAGUCCGACAGCUCCUACAGCUCUCACGGGCCUAAAGCUCCUAUAGCUCUCACUCUCUUAUCUAAGAAUAAUCCUUCUCUUCGUUAUCUAUAUCUUAAUCAAUGGCGUUAUUACUUUGUGUGAUUGUAUAAAGUGUUGGAAAUAUAUAUUUUUAUAACUCUGUGACUCCCAGUGUUAUACCACAACAACUACCCCUAUUAUCCUAACCGAAAUACGGGGAUCGAACUAUUCGUGGUGUCGAUUAUUAUAAUCGUAACGGGAAUUUACGACUCCCGUUGACGCGUAUUCUAACGACCGCGUCUUCCCGCGAUAGCUCGAAAAUACACAAGGUGUUCGGUAACUGUCGGUGCAAUCCAGCAAUUCUAAUCGUAAAUUUCGUAUUGAAUUGAUUAAGCUUUCACUUCUGCUCGUAUUUGUAUUCAUAAAUAUGAGUGUUACAGGCUAAGACUGUGAGUACCAUGAUAUUGGUAUUUUAUGAAAUACGGUUGCAAUUGUUUUAGCAGAUAUACUCUCAAGGUCAGAGAGCGCAUAUCAAGUUCUGAAUUAUUGUUUGCGAGGAUGAACUUGAGGCGAGCUCAGGGCGCUUCUAGAAUGAAGUCAUGUGCAGACGCUCGUGGCGCAAACAUCCAGAAGCCGAAGGAGGUGGGUUCAAAGUUGGCGAACAAACUCGAUUCGAAAUCAGCGUGUCACUAGGAGAAACGGAGCAAUCGGUCUUCAUACGAGAACAUGGAGCUGUUAGUGGAUUGGACAAUAACACAAAUGACCCUGACAGGAAAUCGGGGAGCUUUUAUAAUGUUGGGAUAAGUACAGACAAAUCUGGCGUGACAUUAGAGAGUUGUAACGUCUACCAAUCCUCAUACCAAAUCAGGAAUUUGCAGAGGCUAUCGUUUUCCUCACUAAUCAGAUGGGAAAUCAAGGAGCCAUUUGGUUAGAAAGAUUUUCUUUGACAAGAAUACGCAACGCAAGAAUACGAGACAAAUACGCAAAUACGUAUACGAUAAACAACAGAUCAUUAUACAUGAGUAUAUGUCGUGAAUAAAUAAGUAUAAUUAUGUAGUAUCUAAGUGCGCAUGACAAAUGGAGUUAUCACAAGCAGUUAUAAAUGAUAAUUGGUAAUUAUGAUAUUUAAUAAAUGAAUUUGUUGUCAAAAUUUUGUUCGUUCAAAACAUUCAUUUCACCACGCCAAAAUUCAUACUGCGGGGAAUCACAAAGAAAGACACAUGAAAUUAUUAAAAUUAGUUACGGAACUCCACAAAACUCCGAAGGUCAUAAGAAUAUCAAGAUAGAAUGCAUCAGCAAAUUGUAAAGGGUAUUUGCAUAGGAGAGGAAAUGGAUAGAGAGUACUAGAUUUUACAGGCACUAAAUUUUACAGGCAUUCAAUUACAACAUAUUUAUGAGAGUUUAAAAUCUCGACAAAAAAAAAUAAAUAUUAUUUCCGAACUAAAUAUAACAUAAGUAAGCACUUGCACGAUAGUAUUUUAACAUGUACAUUUUAUCAUCAUCGUUCGUGAACAGUUUCAAGAAUCAAGGUCGUCUCUGAUAGGCGAUCUUUGAACGAUUCCGCGAACAGCUGGACGCCAAUACGAAAAAGUGUGUGUAAGAAUGUCAAGCUUCAAAAGUUUAAUAUUAAUUCAUUAAAUCG